UACGAAGGUCCCAAGCGUUAUCCGGAUUUAUUGGGUUUAAAGGGUGCGUAGGCGGGUUCUUAAGUCAGUGGUGAAAGCUCCAUGCCUAACAUGGAAAUUGCCAUUGAUACUGAUGAUCUUGAGUACAUUUGAAGUGGGCGGAAUGUGUCAUGUAGUGGUGAAAUACUUAGAUAUGACACAGAACACCGAUUGCGUAGGCAGCUCGCUAAACUGUAACUGACGCUGAGGCACGAAAGCGUGGGGAGCAAACAGG
rnacentral:rRNA from 1 species